CGGCCUGGUAACUACUGGUACAUGGGGGGGGGUUGGCAGCAGGACUGGGGGGCAGUAACUAUCAAAGCUUGUUGUGUGGGCAGUUCCUGAUAGUGGGAUGAGUCUCUGUGGGAGAAGCAGGGGGAUUCACUGCAGUGUGUCUUAUGAACCCAAUGGUGUAUGUUGGGUAGCAGCAGUUGGGAGCUGUCUAGAUCCAUUAGGACAUGACACCUAGCAGUCUAUGUAGGAAACUAGGGGGUUUGCAGCCAUGCCUGUUCAAUAGUAAUAUAUGUGGAUCAAUGGUGAAGAUGAUGAUGUUAUAAAGAAAAGGUGUGUGUGUGUGUGUGUGUGUGUGUGUGUGUGUGUGUGUGUGUAGGGUUGUGCAUUGGCUUGGUGAAGUAAUGCCUUGUAGGUCUUGACACACAUACCCUGCAGCCAAAGGCCUUCAUACACAGAUAUGGCUCACUAUCAGUUCCUGCUGGAUAAACCCUCCCUUACUGUCUAGCCAAACUG